rnacentral:rRNA from 1 species
UACGUAGGCAGCAAGCGUUGUUCGGAUUUACUGGGCGUAAAGAGUAUGUAGGCGGUGUCCUAAGUUCGGUGUGAAAUCUCCCGGCUCAACUGGGAGGGUGCGCCGAAGACUGGGAUGCUGGAGUCUCGGAGAGGAACGCGGAAUUCCUGGUGUAGCGGUGAAAUGCGUAGAUAUCAGGAGGAACACCAGUGGUGUAGACGGCGUUCUGGACGAGUACUGACGCUGAGAUACGAAAGCGUGGGGAGCAAACAGG